rnacentral:rRNA from 1 species
UACGAAGGGGGCUAGCGUUGCUCGGAAUGACUGGGCGUAAAGGGCGCGUAGGCGGACGGCUUUGUCGGGCGUGAAAUUCCAGGGCUUAACCUUGGGGCUGCGUUCGAGACGGGUUGUCUAGAGUUUGGAAGAGGGUCGUGGAAUUCCCAGUGUAGAGGUGAAAUUCGUAGAUAUCAGGAGGAACACCUGUGGCGAAAGCGGCUCACUGGACCAUAACUGACGCUGAUGCACGAAAGCUAGGGGAGCAAACAGG